AUUGAACGCUGGCGGCACGCCUUACACAUGCAAGUCGAACGGCAGCGGGGGAGAAGCUUGCUUUUCCUGCCGGCGAGUGGCGAACGGGUGAGUAAUACAUCGGAACGUGCCCUGUAGUGGGGGAUAACUAGUCGAAAGAUUAGCUAAUACCGCAUACGACCUGAGGGUGAAAGUGGGGGGCCGCAAGGCCUCAUGCUAUAGGAGCGGCCGAUGUCUGAUUAGCUAGUUGGUGGGGUAAAGGCCUACCAAGGCGACGAUCAGUAGCUGUUCUGGAAGGACGAUCAGCCACACUGGGACUGAGACACGGCCCAGACUCCUACGGGAGGCAGCAGUGGGGAAUUUUGGACAAUGGGCGAAAGCCUGAUCCAGCAAUGCCGCGUGUGUGAAGAAGGCCUUCGGGUUGUAAAGCACUUUUGUCCGGAAAGAAAUGGCUCUGGUUAAUACCUGGGGUCGAUGACGGUACCGGAAGAAUAAGGACCGGCUAACUACGUGCCAGCCGCCGCAGUAA
rnacentral:rRNA from 1 species